rnacentral:misc_RNA from 1 species
GAUGAAGAACGCAGCAAAAUGCGAUAAGUAAUGUGAAUUGCAGAAUUCAGUGAAUCAUCGAAUCUUUGAACGCACAUUGCGCCCGCCAGUAUUCUGGCGGGCAUGCCUGUUCGAGCGUCAUUUCAACCCUCAAGCACAGCUUGGUGUUGGGACUCGCGUUAAUUCGCGUUCCCCAAAUUGAUUGGCGGUCACGUCGAGCUUCCAUAGCGUAGUAGUAAAACCCUCGUUACUGGUAAUCGUCGCGGCCACGCCGUUAAACCCCAACUUCUGAAUGUUUACCUCGGAUCAGGUAGGAAUACCCGCUGAACUUAAGCAUAUCAAUAAGCGGAGGA